rnacentral:pre_miRNA from 1 species
UAACAUCCGCAGGCUGGCCACCCCCCAGGCUGGGCUGGGCGAGUAUCUCUUCAAAAGGCUCACCCUCAAGCAGGAAAAUAGA